rnacentral:lncRNA from 1 species
UGACACACGCACAACAUUGGAUACCCAUGAAGGGACAUCAAGAUAGCUCCCGCAAUGGUGUAUGAUCCACGAUCUUUACUGCCAAGAAAACAUGCCAUUUAAACUUUUCCUCUUCUGAGCCAACAAAGAGUUGUGUUCAUUCAUUUACCCCUUUCAUCUUUGGUUUACACUAAGACAGCUUCCUCGCACAACACGUGAUAUUCGAGGCAUUCUUACUCAUGCGAGAGAUGAAUCACAUAUACAACACCGGUAAAUGACACAACGUCUUCCUUCUCUUCGGCUCAUGACACUGAUUAAGAGUCUCAUACAUUUCAGUUAGGACAGCGGUGAUUGGAUUCUCAGAGCGAACUUUGUAUCCCACAAAUGCAUUCAUGGCAGCGUAGUCGACCAACUCCUUGGUAUUAGGAAAGAGCAUGACACCAUAGUGGAUAAGAGCCAGUACAUUCAUGAAUGUUUCCCGCUUUUCCUCCUCGGUUAAUCAAUACAAAAACCAAUCUAAGCAUCCUUAAGCUAGUAUGAAUUCACCUUCUAACUUUAUAGGGUACAUUAGUGAUUCUCGUUAGCUACAAGACAUGGGUAUAUUGCCCAAGGUGAUUGUUUGGAUCUUCACCCUCAAGAAAUGC